UACGUAGGGGGCAAGCGUUGUCCGGAUUUAUUGGGCGUAAAGAGCGUGUAGGCGGCUUUGCAAGUCCGUUGUGAAAACUCGAGGCUCAACCUCGAGACGCCGGUGGAAACUGCAAAGCUAGAGUCCGGAAGAGGAGAGUGGAAUUCCUGGUGUAGCGGUGAAAUGCGCAGAUAUCAGGAGGAACACCGGCGUGUAGACGGCUUUCGUGGACCGUAGC
rnacentral:rRNA from 1 species